AAAUGGAGACAUGCAAAAUUAUAUUCUUCUAUUGACAUUAACUGUAACUCUUCAGUGGUACAUAUAUACUAACAACAUAUUUCAGGCAUUCCAAACAACGGCUGAGGAUCUGUUUGUGAACAUUUCAAAUGUGAGAGAAUUCUUUACUCGCCCUAAUAAAGCCCUAUCUCAUGACUUAUGCAUCAGUUCUCACAGCCUGGCUGCACACAACAGUUUAAUUCCGGAGCGCAGGGAAGCUGAAAUGAGGAAGUUGAAGAGACUGAGAGCUUUCUUGAGAGUGCCUCGAUACUUCUUCCCUGAAGAUCUGUACCCGGAAGACUUCAGAAAUAUAGCUGAUACAGGAGAAAAGGAAGUUGUUUUGUCACCCUUUGGAUGCGAUUUGGUGAGAUUCAGCAGGAACCCAAUCAUACGACAAAGUAAUAAGUAAUGGGCUCCAGAGAUUGUGUUAAGUAAAGAGCAAAGUAGGGUGGAGUGUCACCAGAGAAAGUGAAGGACAAUGGAACAAUUUGCCAGUGGGUGGUUUUGACUUGCCAAAGUGAGGGAUGGCAGAGACUACUUACGGUGAGCAUAUACAUGGUUGGCCAGAGUGGACUGCAGGCCAGCAGUGGUUGGUAGGGCUGGUAUGGUUUCCUCACCAGAACUGAAGGACUUAAGGUAUUAGAUUGGUUUAAGAUUAAAGUUAGGUAAGCAAAAGAGGUGAGGUGUAGAAAAGGACAAAGGACACAAGGAAAAAGGCAAUGCUAGCAAAAGCGACUAAAGUGAUCAAGGAGGAGGGCGAUUGUCUAUCUGAAUAUAAAUCAAGUAAGUCUGAUUGGAGUCAUGAGCUGCUGAAUCAAGCAGAAAACAAAGUAAUAAGGCUUCUGUGGGUCAAAAAGUGGGAAUGAAAAGAAAGGUGUUAGAAAGUUUGAAGAAACUUGACUCAUUCUGCAUUCUACUGAUAACAUAAAAUGAUACAUGGUACAGUAGAUCCCCUUAUGUGCAGUUUCAGUUACCUACAGUCAACCAUGGUCUUUAUCAUUGGUAUAUAAGAAAAAAACAUAGACUUGUAUAAGGCUUGGUACUAUCUGCAGUGUCAGGCAUCCACCUGAGGUCUUGAAACAUGUCCCUUGCAGAAGAGGGGAGGCUACUGUGUGUUGUAUAUAUAUAUAUAUAUGAAUCAAGAGUACUGAGGAAAGAAAAGCUAAUCAACAAGGAAUGUGCCAUCAAAAAAGCAAAGACAUAUCCAGUUCUUACUCAGACUUUAGCUGAACAGUCAAACUGGAAAAUACACAGACUAGCCAGCAAGAGGAGGUGAUAUGUUGACAAGAUAAAAGACACACACAUAUAUAUUGCUCUCUCUCUCUCUAUAUAUAUAUACACACACAGACAUAUAUAUAUAUAUAUAUAUAUAUAUAUAUAUUGCUUUUUGAUAGUGAGAGAAUAAAAUGGCUAAAAGCUUAAAAGAG
rnacentral:lncRNA from 10 species